CUGGCGCGGUUCCUUCCGAGUUCCCUGGAACGGGACGCCAUAGAGGGUGAGAGCCCCGUACGGUCGGUUGCCAAGCCUUUGUGAAGCUCUCUCGACGAGUCGAGUAGUUUGGGAAUGCUGCUCUAAGCGGGAGGUAAAUUUCUUCUAAAGCUAAAUAUCGGCCAGAGACCGAUAGCGCACAAGUAGAGUGAUCGAAAGAUGAAAAGAACUUUGAAAAGAGGGUGAAAUAGUACGUGAAAUUGUUGAAAGGGAAGCGCUUAUGACCAGACCUGCGCCUGGCGGAUCAUCCAGUUUCGGCUGGUGCACUUCGCCGGCUCAGGCCAGCACCGGUCAAGUCCGGGAGGGUGAUGCCGGGUGGAAUGUGGCUCGCUCGCGAGUGUUAUAGCCCCCGUGCGGUCCCCUGGAUAUGACCGAGGAACGCGCUCUGCAAGGGUGCUGGCGUAAUGGUCAUCAGCGGCCCGUCUUGAAACACGGACCAAGGAGUCNUCUUCGCGAGCGAGUGUUCGGGUGUCAAACCCUUACGCGUAAUGAAGGUGAACGUAGGUGGGAGCCUCGGCGCACCACCGACCGAUCCUGAUGUCUUCGGAUGGAUUUGAGUAAGAGCUCGUGGGGACGGACCCGAAAGAAGGUAGGCCGAAUCCACUGUCAAUGACCAAAACAAUAGAUGCUAAUUUUAUUCUAUGUGAACUAUGCGUGUGUAGGGUGAAGCCAGAGGAAACUCUGGUGGAGGCUCGCAGCGGUUCUGACGUGCAAAUCGAUCGUCAAACAUGCGCAUGGGGGCGAAAGACUAAUCGAACCUUCUAGUAGCUGGUUUCUACCGAAGUUUCCCUCAGGAUAGCAGUGUCGAUCUCAGUUUUAUGAGGUAAAGCGAAUGAUUAGGGACUCGGGGGCGCUAUUUAGCCUUCAUCCAUUCUCAAACUUUAAAUAUGUAAGAAGCUCUUGUUACUUAAGUGAACGUGAGCAUUCGAAUGCAACGACACUAGUGGGCCAUUUUUGGUAAGCAGAACUGGCGAUGCGGGAUGAACCGAACGCGGGUUUAAGGUGCCAGAGUGUACGCUCAUCAGACACCACAAAAGGUGUUGGUACAUCUUGACAGCAGGACGGUGGCCAUGGAAGUCGGAAUCCGCUAAGGACUGUGUAACAACUCACCUGCCGAAUGUACCAGCCCUGAAAAUGGAUGGCGCUCAAGCGUAUCACCCAUAACCCGCCCUCGGGGUAGAAACGAUGCCCCGAGGAG
rnacentral:rRNA from 1 species